UCGGUUUCUCUCUCUCUCCAUCACGUAUUCGCUGGAUGAAUCAGUAGGAGAAAAAAACCAAUCUCUUCUCUCAAGGGUUUUCAUCCUCCUUUCGUCCUGCAAAUUGUCCGUUUCGAUCUCCUUCAUUUAUCGAUCCAUGUAUAACGGCAUCGGUCUACAGACUCCGAGAGGCUCCGGAACCAAUGGUUACAUCCAGAGCAACAAAUUCUUCGUGAAGCCCAAGUCAGCUAGGGUUGACACCAGCGCGGUCGGCGGAUCCGCGCAACCCGAGGGAGUCGGCGGCGUCCGGAAACCUAAUAAAGAUAUACUCGAGCACGAUCGGAAGCGUCAGAUCCAGCUGCGCCUUAUCGUUCUUCAGGAUGCUCUAGCCGACCAGGGUUUUACCGAUGAUGAGAUUGCGGAGAAGAUCGAGGAGGCGAAGAAGGCGCUAGAGGUGGAAUUGGCUGCAUCUGCUUCUACUGCUUCCGGCCGCCCUCCCUUAAGCAAGAGGUUUUCGGAGACACAAACACAUCAAAUUGCUGCACGGAAAGAGAAGCAGAUAGAAACUAUGAGAGCAGCCUUGAAAAUUGGGGAAGACAAGAAAGAGAAGAAGAAACAGGGUAAAAACAGUAUUCAUGAUUCUGAGGAUGAUUCUGGACAUUCUGAUCCUGAAAGGUAUUUUAAUGAGGGACAUGAUGACAAAGAGAAGAAAGGAUUUGAAAAUCAAGGGUAUCCCAAUCCUAGUAAGAAGAAGAAAAGUAAUGAUACGGAUUUUGAUUCAGAUGGAGAUGCCUUAGCUAGAGAAAAAAAUGGGAAACUACUAAAUGAAGUGGGUGGCCUUGAUUCUAGGCAUGUGGAUUCUUAUAGUGGUGAUGAAAAAGGAAAAGGUAAAAAGGAAAUUUCUAUGAAAUAUAAAAAGUCUAGUACAAGCCUAACUAAUAACAGCUUAGAGAUUGAUAGUGGAAAGGAAAAUGCAAGCAAAAAUAAGAAACAUGAGCAGAGACGUGUAAGGAAAUCCUCGGAUGAAUCAGGAUCUGAAACUGAUGAUGAGAGUAGCAUUAGAAGGAAGAUAAUGGAGAAAUACACAAAACCGCACCACAAGCAUACGAUUGAUUAUUCUGAUGGUGAUUGUAGAAAGAAAAUUUUAACUAGAGAUACUAAGCAUGAUAGAGAUUGUGAAAUUGCCAAGACAAAGCUUAAAGCUGAAGAGAAGAAGAAGAAGAAGAAACGACAUGACUCUGAUGAAGAAAGCUCGGACUCUGAUAGCGAUAAGAAACGUCAAGUGUACAAGAAGAGGAAAAGGUAUGACACAGAUUCUGAUUCAGAUGGAGUUUAUUUGGCUAAAGAAAGAAAAGGGAGUCUACUGAACAAAGACCGAAGACUUGAACCUGAGCAUGUUGAUUCAGACGGUGGUGAUAAAAAAAGAAGAGGCGGAAAGGAAAUUUCCUUGAAACAGAACAAGUACACAAAUAGACAGAAUAAUAACAGCUCAGAGAUUGGUGGUGGAAAUGAAAAAGCAAGUAAAAAGAAGAAGCAUGAGAAGAGAGAUGUUAGAGACUAUUCAGAGGAAUCAGGAUCUGAAACUGUUGACUAUAACAGUAGUAGGACUAAACUAGAGAAAUACAUGAAGCCUAGCCACAAGCACAUGAAUGAUUAUUCUGAUGAUGAUGAUAGAAAGAACAUUUUUACUGAGGACACCAAGCAUGAUAGAAAUAGCAAGUUUGACCGUGAGAAGCAUAACGUUAGGGAUAAGAAGAAGAGGCGGGAUGAUGCUGAUGAAGAGAUCUCUGACACUGAUGUCGAUAAGAGGCAUCCAGAGCACAAGAUUGAUUAUUCUGAUGUUAAUAGUAGAAAUAAAUUUUUUACUAAAGACACCAAGUAUGAUAGAAUUAGCAAUUUUGACCGUGACAAGCAUAAAGUUGGAGAGAAGAAGCAGAAGCGUCAUGAUUCUGAUGAAGAGAGCUCUGACACUGGUAGUGACAAGAGGCAUCCAGAGCACAAGAAAUCAACUGAGGCUAGCAGGAGAAAGAAGGGGAGGCUUGAAGCUGAUGAUGAAAACAGCGACUCUGAUGGUGGAAAGAAAAAAAAGACCGUUAAGAGUGCGGGGUACCAUAGUUUUCAAAAGGAGUCGGAUUUGGAUAGUGAUGCAAGUGAAAGCGAUAGCUACAGCUCAUAUUAUAGCAGUUCCUCUUCCGAUGCAAGCAGUGGCCACAGAGAAGAGAAGAAUGACCGAAGAAGAGCAGGGGUUAAGGAAGUCAGAAGAGUAGAUGGCAAAAGUUCCAAGAAGCGUGAAUCUACAUCUGCUACUAAAACAGGCCCGAGUUCCAAUGGUGACCGUGAUGGAGUAAAAGUUAAACCAAAUCAUUUCACUGAUGAUGAUGGCAGAAGUAAGAACCUUGAUUACUCUAAGAGGAGUGACAAAAGUGACUACCUCCACUCAAUAAGAGACACUAACAGUAUCCAUGCACACCAUAAGCAAGAAGCAGGAAAGGAACAAAACUUCUAUGAUGGUAAGCAUGCUGAUGUAUCUAGAAUGGCACAUGAUGUGAGGAGAACUGAAAGGGAUAGCAAAAGGUAUGAUGGUAGUCAUAAGGCUGGUGAUGAUCACAUGGAGGGCUAUCAGCCUAAUAAAUAUGUUGAAAUGCAGGGUCAGACAGCUUAUUCUGCUGAAGAUAAACUUGGUAGAAUGAAGAAUGUCACGGAUGGUGAGAGAUUUGGGGACAAGCUGUCUUCACAAGAACUCAUUGCUGUAGAUAGACAUGGCAGCAGUAAACACACAUAUAAGAAGCAUGAUUAUGAAGAUGGUAAGAGAAAUGGGCACCUUGAAAAGCAUUCUUCAAAAGAAAAUUUUAAUGAAGACAUACUUGAGGGUAGAACUUUCACAGAAGAUGAAGACAGAAAGAGGAAAAGGUGUGAGAACAAGAAGACUGCAGAAGGUUUCUCCCUUCCAGACAAAUAUGGUAGCAGAAACAACAGCGAAGAUAAGCAGGUUUAUGAUGAAAGGAAGCGGACAAAGUAUGAGGAUAAACAGGUUCCGAAUGACCUCUUAAAUGAAGACACACAUGGCACUAGAAGACGUUUUGAAGAUGACCACAAUUAUGAAGGUCGUCAAGGUGGCUACAGGGAAAAGCAAGCCUCAAAAGAACGGAGCCAUGAGGAUAAAUAUAGAAGCAGAAGUCAUGAUGAGGAUCAUCAAAGUUAUGGUGAUAAUAAGAGGAGAAAAUAUGACGAGUCUCAGAAACAUUCUAGAAGAGACAGGCGUGAGCAUGAGUAUAGUGAAGAUAAAGGUCAUCACAGGCGGCACUAAUGCUGACAAUGGCCCUUGCUAUCCUAGUGUGAUAGGUGCUACGCCUGUAUGUAGUGAAUUCUGCACUUUAUACUUUUGAUGUUGAAUGAUUGUGACAAACCCAUCUGCUAUUGUAGAGUCUUUACAGACAUGGUCAUCAGAAUCAGAAGGCUCCAUAUCACUUGUCAUUGAUGAUGCUGAUAUACCUGCAGCAGUUUAUGUAUGUGUGUGUGAACUUGUUUUUACCCCCUUAGGUAUGCAAGGCCAAGGGCAGUAUCCCAACAGUUUGUGUUGUUUCAAAAGGCGAUCCAGUGGUAUUGUUAAUUGUUAUGAAAUCAGAUUUUCUUUGAUGGAGCAGUUUUCUGCUUACUGUUGGAAUCGGAAUUAGAAGUCUUCUGUGGUUUUUCA